rnacentral:rRNA from 1 species
GACGAACGCUGGCGGCGUGCCUAAUACAUGCAAGUCGAACGCAGUGGGGACGGGUGAGUAACACGUGGGUAACCUCCCAUCAGAGGGGAUAACACUUGGAAACAGGUGCUAAACCGAUACUGAUGGAUGAACCCGCGGUGCAUUAGCUAGUUGGUGAGGUAACGGCGCACCAAGGCCACGAUGCAUAGCCGACCGGGGAGGGGGAUAGGCCAGACUGGAACUUAGACACGGCCCAGACUCCGACGGGAGGCAGCAGUAGGGAAUCUUCGGCAAUGGACGAAAGUCUGACCGAGCAACGCCGCGUGAGUGAAGAAGGUUUUCGGAUCGUAAAACUCUGUUGUUAGAGAAGCGGUGUCUAACCAGAAAGCCACGGCUAACUCCGUGCCAGCAGCCGCGGUUAUUC